rnacentral:rRNA from 1 species
GAUGAACGCUGGCGGCGUGCCUAAUACAUGCAAGUCGAGCGAACAGAUAAGGAGCUUGCUCCCUUGACGUUAGCGGCGGACGGGUGAGUAACACGUGGGUAACCUACCUAUAAGACUGGGAUAACUUCGGGAAACCGGAGCUAAUACCGGAUAACAUUUGGAACCGCAUGGUUCUAAAGUGAAAGAUGGUUUUGCUAUCACUUAUAGAUGGACCCGCGCCGUAUUAGCUAGUUGGUAAGGUAACGGCUUACCAAGGCGACGAUACGUAGCCGACCUGAGAGGGUGAUCGGCCACACUGGAACUGAGACACGGUCCAGACUCCUACGGGAGGCAGCAGUAGGGAAUCUUCCGCAAUGGGCGAAAGCCUGACGGAGCAACGCCGCGUGAGUGAUGAAGGGUUUCGGCUCGUAAAACUCUGUUAUUAGGGAAGAACAAAUGUGUAAGUAACUGUGCACGUCUUGACGGUACCUAAUCAGAAAGCCACGGCUAACUACGUG